UAUAAGAUAACAAAGUGGAACGAAAUAAAACAUCUGGGAAAUAAAACGCCCUGAUAUAACAAUUGCAGUCAGACAACCCCAGACUGCUCUGGCUAUGUAGUUAAAAGUGCCAUAAAAUCACUUUCAACUGGUGCGUUAUAUUGCAGUGUGUCAUUUCACAAACCUAAGCCAUGUUCACAAAUGGGGGGUGUAGAUGGAUUUGUACAGGCGCAGCUCCAAUUGCAACUUAUAACAACAGUCUACCCCCAUUUGAUUUCGAUGUAAAAUGCCAUAAAGUCUGCAAGAAUGCUGGAAUCUUGAUACAUUUGCGAUGUAAGCAUUUAAUUAUCAAUCUCUUAUGAAAAUUGUGGGGGAAAUACAUGUUUUCUACAGGUAUUGACAUCAUGCAUGUCCAUAAAAGAGGAACACAAAGUUGCACUAUUUCUCUUGGCUAAGGGUAACUGAUUCUGCAGCUUACAGGCUCCUAAAAGAAGUAUUCUCCAUCUCAGCUAAGGUGCACUGAAAACGUAAUGCCACUGUCUCACAUAGUAAAUGCUUGUCUGGUGCGAAAACUAAUAUUUAUCUAUACUCCUCAUUUCCUGAGACAUUCAGGCAAACAAUAAAAAGGAGUAAUUCAAAAGCUAUUGCUAAAUAAGUCCCUGUGAUCUCUGUGCCAGUAAACAACGCAGUGUCUUUGUUGGAGCUUUCCGGUUUAGGGGCUACAACUGGAUAAUUUUAUAGGAGUUCUGAAGGAGGGCUCCUUUUGUCUGCCCAAUAUUCUGAGAAGCCUCAUUCUGGCCAGAGACAAUAGCAAGGAGAGCCACCAAUAGUGGAAGUAUUGCACCAGAUGCAAGGAAGUCCUUGUCUCCCUGUCCGGCUAGCAGCAACAUCCAACAAACGAACAGAAUGAACACAACACAGUCGUUGGUUAUUGCAGUGGACUGGCUGACAAAACACUUUGCAGGGAAAAGUUCUGAGAAAUACUGCAAGAAACAGAAAAGCAGGGGCUCUAUCAGAUAUUGCGGCUAGUUUCAAGCAACAGGAUAACAAUGCACAAUAAAAAAAAAAAAUAUGCAUUUAACUGAAUCAUACCCUGAAGACAAUAUUUCUCUGAAGAUUAUACCCAGUUAUUGUAAAUGUAUGGUGUUAUUGGAACUAUUCCUUCAUAAAAUAAAAUAAAAAUAAUUAAAAAAAA